rnacentral:tRNA from 1 species
GCGGUCGUGGUUUAGUGGCAGAACUGUUGCUUCCCAAGCAACGGGCGCGGGUUCGAUUCCCGCCGACCGCA